AGUUUAAGGAAAUAAUCUUAAAUGUAUUCUGCCCAGUGAUCUAUUUUAAAUGGCCGCAGUACCUUGACUGUGCUAAGGUAGCAUAAUCAAUUGGCUUCUAAUUAAAGUCUGGAAUGAAAGGAAAAAUGGGGUAAUUCUGUCUUAAGGAAUUUUUUUUGAAUUUAUUUAAAUGAUGAAAAUAUCAUUUUUUAGAAAAAAGACGAGAAGACCCUUAGAGUUUUCAAUUUUUUUUUGUUGGGGCGACAAGUAAACAAUUAAACUUUACUAGUGUAAUAAAUCGAUUUUUUAUAAGAAUAAUUAAACUACCUUAGGGAUAACAGCAUUAUAUAUUUUAUGAUUGUGACCUCGAUGUUGGACUAGGAACUUUAUGGCUAGCCGUCAAAAAAGAUUUGUUCUGUUCGAACAAUACUAUCCUAC
rnacentral:rRNA from 1 species